AUUGAACGCUGGCGGCAGGCCUAACACAUGCAAGUCGAACGAGUGGCGGAUGGGUGAGUAAUGUCUGGGAAACUGCCCGAUGGAGGGGGAUAACUACUGGAAACGGUAGCUAAUACCGCAUACAAUCGGAUGUGCCCAGAUGGGAUUAGCUUGUAGGUGAGGUAACGGCUCACCUGGGCGACGAUCCCUAGCUGGUCUGGAAGGCUGACCAGCCACACUGGAACUGAGACACGGUCCAGGAUCCUACGGGGGGAAGCAGUGGGGAAUAUUGCACAGUGGGCGCGAGCCUGAUGCAGCCAGGCCGCGUGUAUGAAGAAGUCGUUCGGGUUGUAAAUUACUUUCAGCGGGGAGGCGUUACCCGCAGAAGAAGCACCGGCUAACUCCGUGCCAUCAGCCGCGGUAAUUC
rnacentral:rRNA from 1 species